rnacentral:rRNA from 1 species
UACGUAGGGCGCAAGCGUUGUCCGGAAUUAUUGGGCGUAAAGAGCUCGUAGGCGGCUUGUCACGUCGGGUGUGAAAACCCGAGGCUCAACCUCGGGCCUGCAGUUGGGUACGGGCAGACUAGAGUCCGGAAGAGGAGAGUGGAAUUCCUGGUGUAGCGGUGAAAUGCGCAGAUAUCAGGAAGAACACCCGUGGCUAAGGCGGCUCUCUAGUACGGUACUGACGCUGAGACGCGAAAGCGUGGGGAGCGAACAGG